UGUGGAUCUGGGUCAAAAGGACAUAUCUUGUUCAUCUUAUUGAUAUCAACAGUGUAACAGAUUGAAUUCUGCUUGCCUUAAUUGCUCUUUUUUUUCUUUCAUGGAACUAUGAUGUUGAUGGCCAAGUGAUCUAACAGACUGAACAUCUAGGAAAUAUAUGCUGCAGAUGGAGGACACCGGCAACGGAUGGUCCAUCUCAGGAUCUCUGGAACAUCAGAGGAUUCCUGGCUCUCUACUGCCAAAGAGUGGCUAGCACAGUCUUCACUGGAUCCUUCGGUGGAUUGCAGGA